rnacentral:tRNA from 1 species
GCCCCGAUAGCACAAUGGAUAGUGCAACGGACUUCUAAGCCGUUGAUGUUGGUCCGAUUCCAGCUCGGGGCA